UCUCUCUCUCUCUCUCUCUCACUCCUCACAACAUGAAAAUAUUGUAAACACACACACACACAUAUAUAUAGAUAUAUAUACCGGCUUUUUAAAAGACGUGGAUUUUAGGAAAUAUACGUCUCUUACCAGCAAUUCCCCAAGGAAGAAAAAAAACCCCAAAUCAACAGCUCUCAGUUACAGCCGGUUUGGCCUUCUUUCGUUUUUUUUACCUCAGUCGUCGCUGCUGAUUAAUUCAACCAAAUGUGUGUGUGUCCGUGUGUUUUCGCCAGAAAUAGGAAGUAUAUAGAAAUUUUAUUAUUAUCUUUUUUCCGAAAAUUGUUGAUUUAGAGUAAGGGGAGGAAAAAAAGGCAAAGUGUGAAAAGAACCGCGGAAGUAAGGUUUUACGGUGAAAUUUUGUUUAAAUCCAGUUCAGCCCCUAAUCAAGCAGACCUAUGAUCAAGCAUAUUCCAGCCGUGACCAUCCUGUGUUUGUGUGUGUGUGUGUGUAUCUGCGGUGUGAUGUCUAUACUAGGAACGACAUUAUGUGCUGUGUCUGUAUUCCAAAACGGUAGACUUUGGUUUGAAGAAGAUUUGGCUGCUAUUUCUACAAGCUGGCGUGAUCGCGUAGAGAGACUCCUUCGUUCAGCUUGUUUAGAAGGUGACUAAGGUUACUAACAGACAACUGUUUUAUCAAUGAACGAGGAAACUAAACACACACACUCUACACACACACGUACACGCAUGCACACAUACACACACGCACGCACGCAUUCUAAACAUAUGCACUCGCGCGCACACGCUUACAUAAACUCACGCGCGCACCUAGAAGUGUACAAAAUACAUUAACUCCAGCGGCAAAAUAUUGAAUCCUUUUUUAACAAUGGAUGUAUUAAUUGACUUUUAAUUAUUAUAUAGGUGUGUCUGUGUGCGCGCUCAUACGUACAUACAUACCAAGAGAGACAGACAAAAAGAGGGAAGAAAAAAGAAUCUACUCACUUGUCUGUCUGUCUAUCUAUCUAUCUAUCUGUCUGUCUGUCUAUCCAUCUCUCUCUCACUCACUCUAUCUAUCUAUCUGUCUGUCUAUCCAUCUCUAUCUCUCUCUCACUAUCUAUCUAUCUAUCUGUCUGUCUAUCCAUCUCUCUCUCACUCACUCUAUCUAUCUGUCUGUUUAUCUAUCUAUCUUUCUAUCUAUCUGUCUGUCUGUCUAUCUAUCUCUCUAUCUGUCUAUCCAUCUCUCUCUCUCUCUCACUGUCUAUCUAUCUAUCUGUCUGUCUGUCUGUCUAUCCAUCUCUCUCUCACUCACUCUAUCUAUCUAUCUAUCUAUCUAUCUAUCUAUCUAUCUAUCUAUCUAUCUAUCUAUCUCUAUCCAUCUCUAUCUCUCUAUCUGUCUGUCUAUCUAUCUCUCUCUCUAUCUUUCUUUCUAUCUAUCUAUCUGUCUAUCUAUCUAUCUAUCUAUCUAUCUAUCUAUCUAUCUAUCUAUCUAUCUGUCUAUCAACAUCUAUUUCGAGAUAGUAUCUAUGUAUGUAUAUAUAUAUUUAUACAUACAUGCAUACAUACAUACAUACAAUAGAUUAUUAUAUAUAAGUAUAUAUGUGGUGCGUAUGUAUGGUAUGAUGUGAUGUGUGUGUGUGUGCUUGUAUGUCAAGUUAUAUAUAAAAUCUUAUUUUAACAUUAAACUGAAAGACCACGUAACGCUUUCUUUCAGAGAAGUAUAUAUUAAUUUUUACGAUUUUUUUUUUUUACAAGGAAAAGUCCACAGUGACUUCGAAGUUUCGGAUUACCAGCUGUCAUGGGACGACGAGGCUGCACUGGUUUGUAGUUUACACACACACACACGUAUAUAUAUAUAUAUAUAUAUAUAUAUAUAUGUGUGUGUGUGUGUGUGUGUGUGUGUGUGUGUGUGUGUGUGUAUAUGUGUGUGUGUAUUCAAAUUUCCCCCUCCGGGAGUGAAACUUGUCUGUCACAGGGAAAUGCUUGACCAACCAACAAGGUAGCUGGCUCAGCAGCGGCAAAGAGAAAGAAAGUGGUUAUAAAUAUAAAAAAUGUGGAGCCAAACACACGAACACAAGAAGUUUUAAACUCUUAGCGUCGAGCAAGUGUUGGCUGGCUGGCUGGUGGACUGGUAGGUCGGCUGGUUGACUGGUUACACGGAAGCAGCAUUGGCAAUUAGGGGAGAGAGUGAGAGAUAGAAGGAAUGAAUGGAUGGAUGGAUGGAUGGAUGGAUAGAUAGAUAGAUAGAUAGAUAGAUAGAUAGAUAGAUAGAUAGAUAGAUAGAUAGAUAGAUAGAUAAAGAGGGGAAGGGUGUAAUAUACGUUUCAGAUGCGGCUGCGGUCAUGCUGGAACAGAACAUAUACACAUGCUUGUGUGUGUGUGUGUGCAUAUAUUCUUCUUUCUUUACUUGUUUCAGUCAUUUGACUGCGGCCAUGCUGGAGCACCGCCUUUAGUCGAUCAAAUCGACCCCGGGACUAAUUCUUUGUAAGCCCAGUACUUAUUCUAUCGGUCUCUUUUUGCCGAACCGCUAAGUGACGGGGACGUAAACACACCUCCAUCGGUUGUCAAGCAAUGCUAGGGGGACAAACACACACACAUACAUAUAUAUAUAUAUAUAUAUAUACAUAUAUACGACAGGCUUCUUUCAGUUUCCGUCUACCAAAUUGGUCGGUCCGGGGCUAUAGCAGAAGACACUUGCCCAAGAUGCCACUCCUGCGCCUAUAUAUAUAUAUAUAUAUAUAUAUAUAUAUAUAUAUAUAUAUAUAAUAUAUACAGUUGAAACAUUCCUGUCACAACCUGGGACCUUGAAGACUGCUUAAAUGCAAGAAAGUAUACUGGUCCCUUAAUAUUUGAUAUUCAAUAUUUCAUCUAUUCAAUAAGACAAUCAAUACUUCAUUUCAUUUUACUAUAUAUAUAUAUAUAUAUAUAUUAUUUAUACUAUAUAUUCUAUAUUCUACAUUAAUAUUGUAAAGAAUAUAAAUAAAACAUAAAAAGCAGACAGAGUUGGAAUUCCUUUGAAUAAUAUAUAUCCCUCUAUACACAUUCAAACAAAUCCCUUUAUAUAUAUAUAUAUAUAUAUGUGUGUGUGUAUGUGUGUCUGUGUGUGUGUGAAUAUGUGCAUAGAAGGGGUGUAGAGAGAUAGGGAGAGAUACGUGUAUAUAUAUAUAUAUAUAUAUAUGUAACACGUGUGUGUUUGUGUGUGUGUCUGCCUUUCACUCCCGUUGACAAAAACUUCCUUUCUUACUCUUUUCACCAUCCACCCCCUCCAAACUCCACUACACUUCCCUCCAACAUUUCUUUUCUUAACAUCAUUCACUGCUUCUUUCAUUUGUCAAAUAUACGUCUCGGGGGCCCCCCACUUUAACCGAGCCGAUAUCGAACACUUAAACAGUAAAUUAUAUACAGAUACACACACACACUAUAAAACUACCAAACUACCACGCUACUUCUGACAUUAAUUUCUAAUGAAAUGAUAAACUUUUAGAUUCUUUCAGAAGAAGGAAUUUCAGACUCUACAAUGGUUCGUUCUUCUCUCAAUAACGUGAUAACUUGUUGAGAAAAUAGCUUUAAAACAACCUGCCAAAAUUGACUCAAGACAUUUCAUUCAGUUUUCUCACCCUCUUUCCUUUCUUUUUUCCCUCAGUUUCUCUCUAUUUUCUUUUUCGCUUUGUCUUUCUAUUCUCACUCAUUCUUUCACUCACUCACUCAUUCAUUCACUCAUUCAUUCAUUCAACAUAUGUUUUACCUUUUACUUUUUCCUACACCCUCUUGACUUCGACGCACCCGAUAUUCACCCGGACCUUUAUUACUGACAAAGUUGCCAAAUGUUCUUGAAUUCCUUUUGUAGUUUUAUCGUUUUUAUUAAACAUUCAUUAAGAUUUUUUUUCUUCCCCUCUUGUAAAUUCUUGGCAGCUUGUUUUAAACAAUAAAGCUUCCAUUACACACACGCCGCAUGUGUGUAUGUAUGUGUGCCUAUUUCUGUUGUCCCGUAACAUAGCUAGUUGACAAAUGAAGUCCAAGUUAUUAAGCACUUGAAGUGAAGGCAGUGGAUGUCUCAACGUGACCACAGUCCUUAUAUCUGUGUGUGUGUGUGUGUAAAGGUAAUAUUUCGGCAAAAGCCUAUGACGUCACGAGUGACCGUGUAACACUGGCUGUUAUCAGCUCAGCGGAGCUAAACAAACACACACUCGUACACACACUCACUUAUCCAUUACUGACGUCAUGUACUAAUACCUAUUUCUUUAUUACCCACAAGGGGCUAAACACAGAGGGGACAAACAAGGACAGACAUAGGUAUUAAGUCGAUUACAUCGACCCCAGUGCGUAACUGGUACUUAAUUUAUCGACCCCGAAAGGAUGAAAGGCAAAGUCGACCUCGGCGGAAUUGGAACUCACAACGUAAUGCAGACGAAAUACCUAUUUCUUUAUUACCCACAAGGGGCUAAACAUAGAUGGGACAAACAAGGACAGACAGGUAUUAAGUCGAUUCCAUCGACCCCAGUGCAUAACUGGUACUUAAUUUAUCGACUCCGAAAGGAUGAAAGGCAAAGUCGACCUCGGCGGAAUUUGAACUCACAGCGUAACGACAGACGAAAUACGGCUACGCAUUUCGCCCGGCGUGCUUAUAAUACCGAAACAUUGUCACACACAGCAAAAACACGUUUAUUAUGCAGCUGGCAGUAUUUAGCCACAGGUUUGAGGUUUCGACGACAUACCAUUUGCCACUGAUAUGUCUACAACCCAUAGAUCUGCCUCGUAUCCCAAUUUCCAACUUAAUUCCUAAACCAAGGAACACCAAAUGACGCUAACACCAAAUGACAACGCAUUCGUAUUGUAACGUGUCGUAAGGUUUACGUCUCAAACAGCCAGAGCAUAGGUAACAGUUAAAUUACAUUCAGGUACAUUUAAUGUUUAGAAAAUGACACAGAUAACAUAUUAAUAGACUACGUCGAAAGAGUUGGGUAUAUAAAUAUAUAUGAGUCACUACAUAUAUACAUAUUAUUAUCUUUGUUAGCAGAAAUCUAUAUCUAUUGAAUGAACGACCGUAUGUAUAUUUGUAUGUCGACAAGCAGUCAUACAGAUAUUUUUUUGUCAAUGAUAUUAGACGCACCCCGAUUUCAGUAGCGCAAGUUUCAAGAACACAAUGUUAUUUAGUGCAGCCUUGGGAAGCCCAACUUUGAAAUAAGACCGAGGGGUGAUUUUUUUCAGUCUGUUUUCUUUUCUUCUUUUCUGUCUUUCAUUUCUUUCUUUUUUUUCUUUCUUUUUAUUUUUGUUCUUUUUUCUUUUGAAAAACGCUCACCAAAUAGUAAGUUCUGGCGUGGCCGUAUGGUAAGAAGCCUGCUUCCCAACCGCAUGCUACCGGGUUCAGUGUCACUGUGUCACACCUUGGGCAAGUGUCUUCUACUGUUGUCUUGGGCCGACCAAAAACUUGUGACCGGAUUUCGUAGAUGGAAACUGAAAGAAGCCCGUCGUAGGCGUGGCUGUGGUAAGAAGCUUGCUUCCUAACCACAUGGCUCCAGGUUCAGUGCCACUGUGUGCACCUUGGGCAAGUGUCUUCUACUAUUGCUCAGACCAACCAAAGCCUUGUUCAUGGAUUUGGUAGAUAGAAACUGAAAGAAGCUCAUCAUAUAUAUAUAUAUAUAUAUAUAUAUGUGGAAUGGAAGCACUCCAUCGGUUACGACGACGAGGGUUCUGGUUGAUCCGAAUCAACGGAACAGCCUGCUCGUGAAAUUAACGUGCAAGUGGCUGAGCACUCCACAGACACGUGUACCCUUAACGUAGUUCUCGGGGAUAUUCAGCGUGACACAGAGAGUGACAAGGCCGGCCCUUUAAAAUACAAGUACAACAGAAACAGGAAGUAAGAGUGAGAGAAAGUUGUGGUGAAAGAGUACAGCAGGGAUCACCACCAUCUCCUGCCGGAGCUUCGUAGAGCUUUAGGUGUUUUCGCUCAAUAAACACUCACAACGCCCAGUCUGGGAAUCGAAACCACGAUCCUAUGACCGCGAGUCCGCUGCCCUAACCACUGGGCCAUUGCGCCUCCACUAUAUAUAUGUAUGUAUAUACAUACAUACAUACAUACAGGGUGUCCCAAAAAGAUGUACUCACUCUUUGACAGACGAUUACUAAUGUAUUGUUUUUUUUUUGUUUUUUUAUUUCAGACACAACCAACCCUUCACAAUGGCAAAUGCACAACCAACGUUUGAGGAAAAAUAAUUUAUAUUAAAGUGCUACUGGAAGCACGAAAAUGUCAAGGAAGUGCAAAGACAAUUUAACAGACAGUUUCAGAAUAAACCACCAACACGACGCGCUAUUGCUCGCAUCAGAGAUAAAUUUGAAGCAUACGGAACUGUUCAGAACAUUAGUAAGCAACGCUCUGGAAGACCAUGAACAUCCACCAGCCCCAAUAGACUCAACCAGUUAAUGGAAACCCUUUCACGAUCUCCAAAGAAAUCCGUAAGACAAUUGAGUCAUGAGAUAGGAAUCCCAAAAUCAAGUGUUCAUUGAAUGUUGAAACAAGCUCAUUGGAAAAGUUACGUUCCAACAUUAAUUCAAGCUCUCAAUGAAGAUGAUCCUGGUCAGAGAGUUUAAUUUUGCGAAUGGUAUCAGGACAAAUUUGCAGAGGAUGCAACGUUUCCAGAGAAAAUCUUAUGGAGCGAUGAGGCCACCUUCAAGUUAAAUGGAUCAGUC
rnacentral:lncRNA from 1 species